UGAGAGUUUGAUCCUGGCUCAGAAUCAACGCUGGCGGCGUGCCUAACACAUGCAAGUCGGACGCGAAAGCGGGCUUCGGCCCGUGAGUAGAGUGGCGGACGGGUGAGUAACACGUGGGUGACCUGCCUGGCUGCGGGGGAUAACUUUUCGAAAGGGAAGCUAAUACCGCAUGAGCUCCUUGGAGCGAUUUAAGGAGGAAAGCCGAAAGGCGCAGUCGGAGGGGCCCGCGCUCGAUUAGCUGGUUGGUGAGGUAACGGCUCACCAAGGCGACGAUCGAUAGCCGGUCUGAGAGGACGGACGGCCACACUGGAACUGAGACACGGUCCAGACUCCUACGGGAGGCAGCAGUGGGGAAUUUUGCGCAAUGGGCGAAAGCCUGACGCAGCAACGCCGCGUGGAGGAUGAAGGUUUUCGGAUCGUAAACUCCUGUCCCCAGGGAAGAAAAAAAUGACGGUACCUGGGGAGGAAGCCCCGGCUAACUCCGUGCCAGCAGCCGCGGUAAUACGGGGGGGGCAAGCGUUGUUCGGAAUUACUGGGCGUAAAGGGCGCGUAGGCGGCCUGGGAAGUUCUGGGUGAAA
rnacentral:rRNA from 1 species